UUGGAGCCUCUUGUUACACAGGUUACAACCCUGGUAAACACCAACAGUAAGGGGCCUUCUAAUAAGAAGAGAGGUCGUUCUAAGAAAGCCCAUGUUUUGGCUGCAUCUGUUGAACAAGCAACUGAGAAUUUCUUGGAAAAAGGUGAUAAAAUUGCAAAGGAGAGUCAGUUUCUCAAGGAGGAGCUCGUGGCUGCUGUAGAAGAUGUUCGUAAACAAGGUGACUUAAUGAAGAGUGCUGCUGGAGAGUUUGCGGAUGAUCCCUGUUCUUCCGUGAAGCAUGGCAACAUGGUGAGGGCGGCUCGAGCUUUGCUCUCGGCUGUUACCCGGCUGCUGAUUUUGGCUGACAUGGCAGAUGUCUACAAAUUACUUGUUCAGAUGAAAGUUGUGGAAGAUGGUAUCUUAAAACUGAGGAACGCUGGCACUGAACAAGACUUAGGAAUACAGUAUAAAGCACUGAAACCUGAAGUGGAUAAGCUGAACAUUAUGGCAGCCAAAAGACAACAGGAACUGAAAGAUGUGGGCCAUCGUGAUCAGAUGGCUGCAGCUAGAGGAAUUCUGCAGAAAAAUGUUCCCAUCCUCUAUACUGCAUCCCAGGCGUGCCUACAGCACCCUGAUGUCGCAGCCUACAAGGCCAACAGGGACCUGAUAUACAAGCAGCUGCAGCAGGCAGUCACAGGCAUUUCCAACGCUGCCCAGGCCACUGCGUCAGAUGAUGCCUCCCAGCACCAGGGAGGUGGUGGAGGAGAAUUGGCUUAUGCUCUUAAUAACUUUGAUAAGCAAAUCAUCGUGGACCCCUUGAGCUUCAGUGAAGAGCGCUUCAGGCCUUCCCUUGAGGAACGUCUGGAAAGCAUCAUUAGUGGAGCUGCCCUGAUGGCUGACUCAUCUUGCACGCGUGAUGAUCGGCGUGAGCGAAUUGUGGCAGAGUGCAACGCAGUCCGCCAGGCCCUGCAGGACCUGCUCUCUGAGUAUAUGGGCAACGCUGGACGUAAAGAAAGAAGUGAUGCGCUCAAUUCUGCAAUAGAUAAAAUGACCAAGAAGACCAGGGAUUUACCUAGACAGCUCCGCAAAACUGUCAUGGACCACGUUUCAGAUUCUUUCCUGGAAACCAACGUUCCACUUUUAGUAUUGAUCGAAGCUGCAAAGAAUGGAAAUGAAAAAGAAGUUAAGGAGUAUGCCCAAGUUUUCCGUGAACAUGCCAACAAAUUGAUCGAGGUUGCCAACCUAGCCUGCUCCAUCUCAAACAAUGAAGAAGGUGUGAAACUUGUUAGAAUGUCUGCAAGCCAAUUAGAAGCCCUCUGUCCUCAGGUUAUCAAUGCUGCACUGGCAUUAGCGGAAAAACCACAGAGUAAACUGGCCCAAGGGAAUAUGGAUCUUUUUAAAGAACAGUGGGAAAAACAAGUCCGUGUCCUCACAGAUGCUGUAGAUGACAUUACUUCCAUUGAUGACUUCUUGGCUGUCUCAGAGAAUCACAUUUUGGAAGAUGUGAACAAAUGUGUCAUUGCUCUGCAAGAAAAAGAUGUGGAUGGGCUGGAUCGCACAGCUGGUGCAAUUCGAGGCCGAGCAGCCAGGGUCAUUCACGUGGUCACUUCAGAGAUGGACAACUAUGAGCCAGGGGUCUACACGGAGAAGGUGCUAGAGGCCACCAAGCUGCUUUCCAAUACAGUCAUGCCGCGUUUCACUGAGCAAGUUGAAGCAGCUGUGGAAGCCCUCAGCUCAGACCCCACCCAGCCAAUGGAUGAGAACGAGUUUAUUGAUGCCUCCCGCCUGGUGUACAAUGGCAUCAGGGACAUCAGGAAAGCAGUGUUGAUGAUAAGGACCCCCGAGGAGUUGAAUGACUCUGACUUUGAGACAGAAGAUUUUGAUGUCAGAAGUAGAACAAGCGUCCAGACAGAAGAUGAUCAGCUGAUAGCUGGCCAAAGUGCCCGGGCGAUCAUGGCUCAGCUUCCCCAGGAGCAGAAAGCAAAGAUUGCGGAACAGGUUGCCAGCUUCCAGGAAGAAAAGAGCAAGCUGGAUGCUGAAGUGUCCAAGUGGGAUGACAGUGGCAAUGACAUCAUUGUGCUGGCCAAGCAGAUGUGCAUGAUUAUGAUGGAGAUGACUGAU